rnacentral:lncRNA from 1 species
GAGCCGGAGGGGCUGCACUGCACCGAGCUUGCACAGGGCGAGGCGGGGGCAGGACCUGGGACCCAGCCACCCCGGAGGAAACCGGAGAGGAAACCAGCUUGGUCUUGCUCUCUGCCUCGUCCCAAUCCCCGGCUCUUACCAAAUGCAGAUCCGUUGGCUGAAUGCCUUUUAGUCUGCAUACAUGCAUCUCAUACCGCACAGCCCAAAUUUCUACAACUUGUCCAGGUGCAGUCUCCUCAGAACUACAAAGCAAGAAAAGAUCACCUUUGGGCUCAGGAACUCACAGUCGUUCUCCCUCUCCCGGAAGGCACAAUGACCAGGACAGUACCGAGCUUUACAGCCAUAUUGAACUCACCAUCAACUCAGCACAUUCAACUCAAUCAGUCAAAAUCGUCUUUUCCUGCUGGUAAAUAACACUGAAAUCUCUGUAGGACAGACAUCAGACAUGGGUCUCACUGGACUCACAUCAAGAUGCCAGCAGGUUGCAUUCCUUUCUGGAAGCUCUAGGUGGAAAAAUGUGUCCCCUUUUUAAGGUCACAGAUGCCUCCCACAUCCCUUGGCUCAUGGACCCCUUCCUCUUUCUUCAAAGUCAGCAACAUCAUUUCUCUCUGACCCUUCUUCAUGGUCCUCUCUCCCUCUGACUCUGAACUCAGCCAGGAAUGGUUCGUGGAUUUCAAGGACCCUUGUGACUAUAUUUAGUGUCCUCCCAGGUGUACUAGGAUCAUCUUCCCAUUUCAAGGUUUUUAACUUUAUUACAUCUGCACAGUCCCUUUAUCCACAUAAGGGGACAUAUUCAUGGGUCCUGGGGACUAACGUGGGGCAUCUUUAGGGUGCCUUGAUUCUGCCUAUUGCAAUAUCUCAUCACAGAGACUCAGUGGCUCCCCACACAGCUGCAGCCACCAAGCCCAGCACCUCUCUCUCUCCUCUUCAUUGCACAGCUGAACAGAAUGCACAGUGAACAACGUCUUACUCCUUGUGCGAAGAGCUGCUGCAUGAUGAUUUGAAUGCAGGAUAAAAACCACACACUCCCAGCAAACACCGUGCCUUCCCCUUGGUUCAAGGAUGACACUAUUGUUCCCAUCACAUUCAAACAUGUGCAUUUGGAAGAUGUCUCCAUUUCUAGAUCCUUUAUUGUCAGGGAAUAUGAAUUCUCAAGUGCAAGAGAAAUUCAGUUCUGCCAGGUCUAUUAGCCCUUAUGUGCAUUUAAGGAGCCUGAUGUGUCAGGGUUGACACAAUGAACUCCAAGGACACUGCUCAAAAUGGCCCCUCCAACUGGGCACAGCUCUGUACCAGGAACAGUGCCAAUGAGCAUGUGUAUUUGUGUGUUUUUAUACCCAAGUGCUGUAAAAGAAGGCGGUCUGCUUAAAGACUUACAGUUCCAAAGAAGGCAAAUGUAAGGGCAAAAUUCAUGAUGCUCUGUCACCUUGAGCUUCAGCUUCCUGCCUUGUUGAUGAGGAAAAUGAUCCCUACUAAGCCGGGUGUUGUAAAUAGUAGGCAAUAUCAUAAAACCCCUAGCAAGAUGCACUACAUACAAGGCAAUGAAGAAAAAGUGGCUACUUUUUCUUCACUUUUGUUUGUUCUCUGAUCUGUGCAAUUAUUUGUACCAAAUAUACUUGAAGUAUGAAGUUGGUGGCUAUUGUCACAAAGGUAACAAAACCUGCUUUUAAGAGACUUGGAGUUUAUCAAAGGUUACAUGUAGACAGAAUGAGGCCCAGUAGACUUUUCACCAGGAAGGCAGACUUUGUCCUGGGCCUUGGAAGAUUGCAAAGAGAGGAAGAAAGAAAAAGUUUCUCCUUACACUGGGAAAAGUUCAUGCAAAGGCAGAGAGGAAGAGCAGAGCCCGAGAUGUUCAAGACAGGGCUAGUGUGUAGCAAGUAAGUGAUGUGGACACACACAGCCAGUUUUCCUGCUGGUUUACCAGGUAAAAUCAAAAGACCCUCAUGCCAGCCAGGCGCAGUGGCUCACUCCUGUAAUCCCAGAACUUUGGGAGGCCAAGGCGGGCAGAUCACGAGGUCAGGAGAUCGAGACCAUCCUGGCCAACACGGUGAAACCCCGUCUCUACUAAAAAUACAAAAAAUUAGCCGGACGUGGUGGCAGGUGCCUGUAGUCCCAGCUACUUGGGAGGCUGAGGCAGGAGAAUGGCGUGAACCUGGGAGGUGUAGCUUGCAGUGAGCAGAGAUCCAGCCACUACACUCCAGCCUGGCCGACAGAGGGACUCCGUCUGAAAAAAAAAAAAAAA